rfam:Stegodyphus mimosarum contig39164, whole genome shotgun sequence.
GCCUUCAUGGUGUAGUGGUCAGCACGCUCGACGCGUAUUCGAGAGGCCUGUGGUUCGAGUCCCGGCGAAGGCA